GCAACUCGACUCCAUGAAGCUGGAUUCGCUAGUAAUCGCGCAUCAGCCAUGGCGCGGUGAAUACGUUCCCGGGGCCUUGUACACACCGCCCGUCAAGCCAUGGAAGCCGGGAGUGCCUGAAGUGCGUGACCGCAAGGAGCGUCCUAAGGCAAUACCGGUGACUGGGGCUAAGUCGUAACAAGGUACC
rnacentral:rRNA from 1 species